AUUGUUCACUUGUAUGGCGCUCGAAGUGGUUGUGUUCAACCUGGUGUUACUAUGGUUGUUUCGAUUAAUUUGCAUUAACUAGUUCAAGUGAAUAUUGAACUGCCUUAAUUAUUUUUCAACUAUUGAAAUGCUUUCUCUUAACUGUGGCAUUUGGCAAGAGAUAAAUCUAGAACAUGAAAUGUCGAAAGUGACUCAUCGUUCAGAGUAAAAGUGAUCGUUAUUUUACUUCUGAUUAGUGAAGGGUUUAACUAAUGAACAAGGGAAUCAUCUCAUAAAUCUUAUUUAUCCAUCAAGAUCUUCUGUGCAUUCAGUUUAUGAUCCAUGUUUCCCAAACAGUUGACGUGUUUCAGCCAUUUGUUAGCAUGUUGCUGCUGAUCAAGUGAAAGUGAUUCAUGCUAAUCAGUGAACACGUGUGCAAUGUCUCAAUCAAAUUCAACCAACAAGCUUUCUCCUUGAAUAACUAGCAAUUGUUCGUUUGAGUGCAACUUACAGAGUUGAGUGUUUCACUUUUGUACUGAAUGUUUCAGUACGUCAGAUUGAUCCUCAAAUGGAAACCAUUACAGAAUAAAUGGGAUAUAAUAUCAGGAUUACACUUUUGUAUUUGGAGGAAGUUCUUGCAGGCUGCUUUUUUACUCGUUGGCAUUGGACUUCAACCACAAACUGCUAUCAGGAAUUCGAUAUCAUUUACAAAAGAACAACAGCUCUCACAACCAGACCUUUGGCUACGAGUAGACGAACUAAAAUUGCUCGGCUUUGAAACGAAGUAGUUAACUGUUCGUAAAGUGCCAGCGGCAAACGGACCUAACGCACCAAAGAGUGCGUAGCCCUUCAUAACGCUCGAGUCUUCUUCCUUCACCGCCGCGAGUCAUUAAUUCUCAUUAACUUUAAUGGCACGUAUAUAUUUUUCGUCUACGAUUUUUUAUUCUAAAUAUCCGAAAUUUUUUUUCUUGCGAGUUGCAAAAUAAUUUUUCUAUUUGUUAUUCGUGUCAAACCCGGCAUCAAUGUUAGUGAGAUUAGUAGAAGAUGAUUUUUCUUUUAAAAUAAUAAGUUUUUCACGAAUGAAUGAACCUAAUGUGGGUGGAAGUUGGUUUCUCAUUCGAGUGGAACUUAUUACCUUUUUGACACCUUCCGUAACAAUUUCCAAUCGAGUCAGAGCAGUGUAGGCGAGUGAAGGUCAGCUAUUGUUUCCUAAUCAUUAUUUCCUGUUCCCGUCGAUUACUUUUCUCAUAGUGUUUCACAAUUUCCUCUUUUUUUUAACGUGAAAAAAGAAAAGCAAGAGUAAAAUACUGCGUUCUUCAACGGACCAUUGAACGGUACCCUAGUGUGCGGGUCGCUGAGUGUGACGUGAAAUUAGAAGGAAAAUACCAUAUGGCGUCUAAAAGUUAUCAUCUUGGAAGACGGAAAAAGAUUUUUAUUUGUACGCAGUUUUAUCUCGCAAGUGAGCCGCGAUGUGUUUUUUAAAUCUCGGAAAAGUCUUGCCCUUUUUAAUCUGCCAUCUGUUAUUCUUAAAAUCUCAGAGCAUUUCCAUCGAAUGUUGUGUCAGACGCGGCAUUUUGCAGAGAUGUGUCUGACUGUCCUUCUAUUCAAAUUCUUUCGCCGUUUAUUAUUUCUCUCUAAUAAGAUGGACAAUCGGGGCCGUGACUGUAUAGUAGAUGGCCCGUGGCCGUGCUGUCACAGCCGUUUUUGCAAUCGAUGUUAGAGUGAAAUAAGUUUGCGACAAUGCAUUGUUAUUAACCAUAACAUUUCUAACACAUUUAUGGUUUCUCCUUACACGCCUUUAAGUUGCUUGCGGCAAUUUCAAGUUCUAUAUACCAAUCUACUCAAAAACAACUCAAUCCUUGGACAUGAAGUACUGUACAGCAGAUCAUUAGUUAGAUCAACAGAACAUCUGGCGUUCUUCAAUUCAAAUGUGAGACACCUAGUGGAAAAACUACGUACUUCUAAUUGGAAUUAUUUAUCCGUUUGUUUGCUUCGUUUUCGCGUGUCAUGUGAUCUGUGAUGGGCGAACUGUAGGUAGGUGAUUUACCGAGGAAUUUUACAUUUCAAGUAUCGUACAUUUAAUGUUUCAACCUUCUAUACAGUGGUGUGUGAUUAUAGAAUUUGUACUCACUGACUCCAGAGCUUGCAAAACUACGCUCUUGUUACUCCGAUUUUUUUUUCUAUAACUAUGAACAUGAAGUAUUGUUACUUCAUGAGUAUGAUAUGAUCCACUCUUGCAUGACAGAGGAUUAAUUAUUAAAAUCUAGCCUGCCAAAGAUCUAAUUGAAUUCCCUCCUAGUGAGGUGUGCUUGAUAUAUGUGAGUUAGCUAAACCAACUGCAACUAGGUCAUGUAUUUCUGCUUUUUAAAAGCAGUUGUUUAUGUUGCUUGUUGUUUGUUGCUAUUGUUCAAUUUCAGGAGAUUAUUCAUUUCAAUUAGUGCAACAUUUGAUCGAAAGAAAGGGUCCACAAAAAGCGUGAAUCUUUAAGAUAUACAGCUGUGGUGCCAACUGCCAGGUAUGUGUUGCAUUCCAAAGUCUAUGCUGUCAGUCACUCGUAUACCUUGUCAAUAUUGGCUGUGUGACCUGUGUCACAGUGUCAGUGAGUUGUCUGAAAAAAAUCGAUGAUAACAAAACAAGGGAAAUCCUAGUGAACAGCUUACCAUACGUACAUAUUUUUUUAAAGAAAAUUUCAAAAUUUUAUUUUAUUAACUAACUAAGAUUUUGUCUUGUAGGGUGAAAUAGUUUUGAUUACUUUUUGUUAAUUUAGAUUUUUCUUUAGAUUUUGCAUUUAGACUGAAUGAGAGCCAUCCGCUUAAGUUCAAGGAAAAAGACAUGGCCAACACCACCAACACGGUCAACAAAGUUCUUUGUUUGUUAACCUGUUGGCUGCUACCACUUCAAUCCCCACUCCUAUAUCCUUGGAAUGGACCCACUCUUAUUUUGAGGUUAAUCCUGCGCCUCUAUUCCAUGGACGGAAUUCAUUGGUGGAAACUAACCAGAGAUCAGUGAGAGAGAGAGACUGACGAACGUGCUGACAUUUAGCAAUAAAGCUCACAUGCGUGCCAUCCUUCCGUCGCUUCGAGGCAUGGUUGUGCCUGCUCCAGCGUAAUUCGACUACCCAACCGAUGGCUUGUCAACUCACCCCUCGCUCACAACUCGUACACCCUUGCUCUCGUCUCUCAACACAGCACGGGGUUUGAUCUUUAAAUCGUUUAGAUCUGUUAGUGAUCUGUGAUGGUGGUAUCUUGAGGACGAUGAUGAUGUUCCUUAAUUAGUCAAUUUGCAUGACAGACUUGUUGAGAAUAAUGUCCUUUCAAGAAAGACAACAAAUUCCCAUGUUUGCUAACCCAAUGGCUGCUACCCUUGAAUCUCCCUUUUUAAUUCCUUAAAUGGGCUCUCUUGAUUUGAGGGUAAUCCCGUGCUACUUAUCGUGGACUUCAUCGAUUGCUGAACACCGACAAGAGCAUGCUGUCAUUCAAAACUGAUAAAUUGUGUAGUUAUUUACAACUGCAUAUCUGGGCUCCCUUCUUCAGUGGCCCCUUUUCCCUAAAUAACCACUAACCAACGCCCGCCGGUGGUCACUCACUCGCUGCGACAACUAGGAGGAAGGGAGAUGUUUGGUCGAACGGGAACUUGCAAGGCGCAUUAUUCGAUGAAAUCUGUUGGAGGGUCAUGAGUCUAAGCCGGAAGUCUACUAUGAUGCAUUGCUCUCUUAAAAACUGUUCCUCUCUGGCUCUCUUCGCUCUUUUUCCGGUUUCUCUUAACCACUGCCGGGUAAUCUCCCUGGUAGAGUCAGUCGGGCAGUGUCUCCCCCUGCUUGACUGGCUGCAGUUUGAACCGGACGGUCUGUUAAAAUAAGAAUUUAAAUCUAGAACAACGCCUCCUUUGAGCGGCCCAGACAAUCCUGAAUCCUUUAGGGUUGCCAUUCCAUCGAGGCUUAAACGAGGAUGACGCGGAGGUGUUGCCCAUUGGAAGUUUUGGUGACAAGGAGUGACUGAACAAAACGCUAAACCAAAUGAAAAAAAAAAAUAUUAAAAAAGCCAACGAUCCUUUAUAUAUCCUAGCCGAGUCCUUUCCGUCUACAUUCGGUGUGAAGAGCAAAACCUAAAUUUCAACACAUUUUACUGCUUAGCAACGAAAAAAAAAGCGAGUGUCAAAACAUUGUUUUACUUGCUCAUACAUAAUUGUGGCAGAAACGCGUUGGUCAUGUAACGGUAAAUUUUUUUCUCUUUUGUUGGUGCAGCAUCAAACGACACGCGAUAGGUUCCGGUGGUCAUCAACUAUUCAAGAUGGUAGACCUGUCAAUGUAAAAGACAGGGUAAGGUUAGCUCCUGUAAAUGUUAUUCAUUUUUGUUAAAUAGCUGCUAGUAGGAACUCAUUGUUGAUUUGCGGUUACAAAAUCCAUAGGCCUAGAGUUCAGGUAUUGUCAAUCAAUCAUUCGAUUUGCGUGUUAGAUACUCCAAAAUCAGUUGUGGAAAUACGAUUUUUUCCCCCCGCUUCUCCUGAAUGGUUACUUAGGAUCAUUUAAGUUAUUUUUUGAGUUAAGCGUUGUGAACGUAGCGGACGAACUCUGACAGUCUAUCGAGGAUAGGUGCAAGGGUCAUGUGUUUGAAACUUAGAUAAGGUUACAGUAGAAUAUUUUCAGAAAAGCCGAUUGCUGUUCAAACGGUUCGAAAUUGAAGAUUUAUUCAUUCACUGAAGAAAUGAGUCAAAUGACUCAUUU